AGGGGAAGCACGUGUCCUGUCGCAGUGGGGAGACAGCCCCAGGAUCACCCGUCCCCCUGCCUCGGCCCUGGGUCCCCUUCUUGGUCUCUCCAGCGCCAUUGGGUGGGGCCUGUGAGGGCCGCCGCUGGGCCCACCUUCCCUCAGCAAGCCGCGGAGGAGCAAGUGCCCAUCCCCUCGGAGGAACCGAGCCCGCCUGGAGGACAGGACGAGCCAGGGGCCAGAGGACGGUUCCGCCGAAGCCGCGCUGAUGAUGCAUGCAGUGAACGACCCUUGUGAAGUCCGAGAAAUAAGCUCGAUGCCCCUUCAUUGCCGGAUUCUGUUUCCCUUCAUUUCUCCGUUGGUCGGUGACGGUAGGCCCCCAGCAUCUGCGCUGCAAGGCCCUUAACUGCUAGUAAGCUGCUCGCUGCCCAAAGCUGGUGGGGGCGUAACUGCACUCCGGGAACUUCUUUUUCACCUCAUGGAAACUGAACUAUGGAACCCAACUAAUCAAUCACAGCCGGUAUUUAUUGAACACUUAGUACGUCGGGCAGGGAGCACCACAGAACAAAAGUUAAAGAGAAAGUUAGGCCUCACACACGUGGUUGGUGGCAGAGACAAGGCAGUUUUCGGGGCUCCCUGUGCAGCGCUCAGUUUCAUGGGCUCCUUCGUGAGUUUCAUGUGGCGGCUUAAGCAGGAAAGGGGCACUGACAAUAUAAACGAGUCAACAAGAAGCACCAACAGUCAGAGUUCUCGAAGUGUAUGCUUUCCUUUCAGAUAUGAAAGCUCCUCCCGAGGAAGGUGUCUUCCUAAGAGAUACUUGGCCAUUCCCCUGAGUCUUACAGGUUUUCCAGAAGUCCUUUCAGAAUCUUCAUGCCCACCGUCUCCCUCCUCGAACACAGAAGUACUCUUCCCCCCAAAAAGUUGUGAUGAAGGACACGAACCCCGGAGAUAGGCAGAUUGUAGUUUUUAGUUCUACUCUGUUCCGAAUCUGUGAUCUUAGGCAAGUGGAACUCACCUGCAAUGAUAGCUAUUCAAAUGUAGUUGUGGGGUGAUUAAAUAAAACAAUAAAUGUCACAGGGCUUUGACGUUCAAAGAAAAUCAA